rnacentral:tRNA from 1 species
UCCCUGGUGGCUCAGAGGUUAAAGCAUCUGCCUGCAAUGCAGAAGACCUGGGUUCGAUCCCUGGGUUGGGAA